rnacentral:miRNA from 1 species
GAGAGGAGGACGGAGUGGGGC